AAAGAAUAAGACAAGCGGACGUGUUUCCGUGGGUAAGGAUUCUCCACUACUGACCACGACAAUGAGAUGGCCAACAAGAGUGCGCGGAGAAUCAGUGCAUCCGCGGAUGCGGCACGUAUACUCACGUACAAAGUGAU